GAUGAACGCUGGCGGCGUGCUUAACACAUGCAAGUCGAACGGAGUGCCUUUGAAAGAGGAUUCGUCCAAUUGAUAAGGUUACUUGGUGGCGGACGGGUGAGUAACGCGUGAGGAACCUGCCUUGGAGUGGGGGAAUAACACAGUGAAAAUUGUGCUAAUACCGCAUGAUAUAUUGGUGUCGCAUGGCACUGAUAUCAAAGAUUUAUCGCUCUGAGAUGGACUCGCGUCUGAUUAGAUAGUUGGCGGGGUAACGGCCCACCAAGUCGACGAUCAGUAGCCGGACUGAGAGGUUGGCCGGCCACAUUGGGACUGAGACACGGCCCAGACUCCUACGGGAGGCAGCAGUGGGGAAUAUUGGGCAAUGGGCGCAAGCCUGACCCAGCAACGCC
rnacentral:rRNA from 1 species